UACACAUGCAGUCGAACGAUGAAGCUUUUAUGAAUUCUUCGGAAUGAUUAAAAGUGGAUUAGUGGCGGACGGGUGAGUAACGCGUGAGUAACCUGCCUUACACAAGGGGAUAGCCGUUGGAAACGACGAAUAAUACCCUAUAACAUCAAAUAAUCGCAUGAUAAUUUGAUCAAAGAUUCAUCGGUGUAAGAUGGACUCGCGUCUGAUUAGCUAGUUGGUAGGAUAAAAGCCUACCAAGGCAACGAUCAGUAGCCGGCUUGAGAGAGUGUACGGCCACAUUGGGACUGAGACACGGCCCAGACUCCUACGGGAGGCAGCAGUGGGGAAUUUUGCACAAUGGGGGCAACCCUGAUGCAGCGACGCCGCGUGAUUUAGAAGGCCUUCGGGUCGUAAAAAUCUUUUGUAUGGGGAGAAAAUGACAGUACCAUACGAAUAAGGACCGGCUAAUUACGUGCCAGCAGCCGCGGUAAUACGUAAGGUCCGAGCGUUGUCCGGAAUCAUUGGGCGUAAAGGGUACGUAGGCGGAUAAGCAAGUUAGAAGUGAAAUCCUAUAGCUCAACUAUAGUAAGCUUUUAAAACUGUUCAUCUUGAGGUAUGGAAGGGAAAGUGGAAUUCCUAGUGUAGCGGUGAAAUGCGCAGAUAUUAGGAGGAAUACCGGUGGCGAAGGCGACUUUCUGGCCAUAUACUGACGCUGAGGUACGAAAGCGUGGGUAGCAAACAGGAUUAGAUACCCUGGUAGUCCACGCCGUAAACGAUGAGUGUUAGGUGUCUGGAAUAAUCUGGGUGCCGCAGCUAACGCAUUAAACACUCCGCCUGGGGAGUACGCACGCAAGUGUGAAACUCAAAGGAAUUGACGGGGACCCGCACAAGCAGCGGAGCAUGUGGUUUAAUUCGACGCAACGCGAAGAACCUUACCAAGUCUUGACAUAAUACGGAAGCUCUUA
rnacentral:rRNA from 1 species